UUUUCCUCCCGACCCCUUCUCUCUCCUCACUCAGUUCCAAUCUCAGAUCUCUCCAUCUCUAUUGCACCACGAUCUCUAGCAGCUCAGAUCUCUCCAUCUCUAUUGCACCACGAUCUCUAGCAGCUCUCUCAAUCCUUGGUAUCUCAGUUAGCCAUAGCUCGCUCUCUCUCUCUCUCUCUCUCAAAAACCUAGACCCAAAGCACACCGAACACUCAAAUCGGAAAUCCUCAUCUAUAGCAGAUCUCUCCUUACUACUCCUUUUGUCUCACAACUUCAAUUACCUGCUCCAACUUUUCUUCAACAUAUGCCCAGAAACCCUAAUCCCAAAACUUGCCCUAUUCGCUGUAGCAAAUUGAGAAUUCGUUUCAAAGCCGAAGGAUAUAAAUGGUAGAUUGGGAAGUGAAAAUUCAAUUCAUAUUUGGGCAGUAGAUUGGGAAGCAUUUUUACGAUAUCGGCCUAUGUUGGCCACUUUCAUCCACUUCCACCUGUGAUCUCCAUGGAACUGCUUGAUGACAUAAAGAAAAUGCAGUAGUAUGCGGUCCUUUCUUAGUCAAAUUGAGAGCUCCCUGCUAUAAUUUCUCUAGGCUUAACUUGAGUAAUCCCUCCCCUUGUCUCUUACUCAAGAUCAAAUAAUGCAUUUGUUUCAGGCAAACAUUCCUGCUGCUUACCUAAAUGCCAAUAUGGAGUAGAGUGAACAACAGGAGAAAACUCUGAAUAUGUCACCCCUGAAAAAGUUGCCAAAUUUUAAACUAUAUAAUUAUGGAUGGGAACUUGGUUUGCCCUGCAAAGAUGGGAAGAUCUGUAGCUGUAGUUCAAGAGUCGAGACGAAUUCAUGGACAUCCACAAUGAAUACGCUGUGGGUUGAACUUGUAUAGUUAGAUUAUUGUUAGUAGUUAUUUAUU